rnacentral:rRNA from 1 species
AUUGAACGCUGGCGGCAUGCCUUACACAUGCAAGUCGAACGGCAGCACGGGUGCUUGCACCUGGUGGCGAGUGGCGAACGGGUGAGUAAUACAUCGGAACAUGUCCUGUAGUAGGGGAUAGCCCGGCGAAAGCCGGAUUAAUACCGCAUACGAUCUACGGAUGAAAGCGGGGGACCUUCGGGCCUCGCGCUAUAGGGUUGGCCGAUGGCUGAUUAGCUAGUUGGUGGGGUAAAGGCCUACCAAGGCGACGAUCAGUAGCUGGUCUGAGAGGACGACCAGCCACACUGGGACUGAGACACGGCCCAGACUCCUACGGGAGGCAGCAGUGGGGAAUUUUGGACAAUGGGCGAAAGCCUGAUCCAGCAAUGCCGCGUGUGUGAAGAAGACCUUCGGGUUGUAAAGCACUUUUGUCCGGAAAGAAAUCCUUGGCCCUAAUACGGUCGGGGGAUGACGGUACCGGAAGAAUAAGCACCGGCUAACUACGUG